rnacentral:rRNA from 1 species
GAUGAACGCUGGCGGCGUGCCUAAUACAUGCAAGUCAAGCGAACAGAUGAGGAGCUUGCUCCUCUGACGUUAGCGGCGGACGGGUGAGUAACACGUGGAUAACCUACCUAUAAGACUGGGAUAACUUCGGGAAACCGGAGCUAAUACCGGAUAAUAUAUUGAACCGCAUGGUUCAAUAGUGAAAGACGGUUUUGCUGUCACUUAUAGAUGGAUCCGCGCCGCAUUAGCUAGUUGGUAAGGUAACGGCUUACCAAGGCAACGAUGCGUAGCCGACCUGAGAGGGUGAUCGGCCACACUGGAACUGAGACACGGUCCAGACUCCUACGGGAGGCAGCAGUAGGGAAUCUUCCGCAAAGGGCGAAAGCCUGACGGAGCAACGCCGCGUGAGUGAUGAAGGUCUUCGGAUCGUAAAACUCUGUUAUUAGGGAAGAACAAAUGUGUAAGUAACUAUGCACGUCUUGACGGUACCUAAUCAGAAAGCCACGGCUAACUACGUG